UACGAGGGGGGCAAAUGUUGUUCGGAUUUACUGGGCGUAAAGCGCACGUAGGCGGACUGUUAAGUCGGGGGGGAAAUCCUGGGGCUCAACCUCAGAAUUGCCUCCGAUACUGGCAGUCUCGAGUGCGGGAGAGGUGAGUGGAAUUCCCAGUGUAGAGGUGAAAUUCGUAGAUAUUGGGAAGAACACCAGUGGCGAAGGCGGCUCACUGGCCCGUAACUGACGCUGAGGUGCGAAAGCGUGGGGAGCAAACAGG
rnacentral:rRNA from 1 species